CGGUCAGGGUCAGGGAAGCGGUGAGGGAAGCGGUCAGGGUCAGGGAAGCGGUGAGGGAAGCGCGGUCAUGGUGAGGGAAGCGGUCAGGGAAGCGUUGACGGCCAGGGAAGCGGUGAGGGAAGCGGUCAGGGUGAGGGAAGCGGUGAGGGAAGCGGUCAGGGUCAGGGAAGCGGUGAGGGAAGCGGUCAGGG